GUAACCUAAAAAUACUGAAGCCUUUUUGCUUUCAUGUUAGAUCCCUCUCUGUAAAAGCUACAACCAGAAGCAACAAAUUCAAAUUUUAACAGCCUUUACUCAAUUGUGCCUGGGAACACAAGAAAGAAGGUUGACAGCAUAUCACACUCUAAAACUUCUGCUCGCCCUUAUAAUUCUUUUCUCCCACCAGAGUUCUGCAAUUUAAAGCAGCGACUCAACCCUUUUCAUUAACUGUCUGUCCUUUUCUCUUUCUCUUCCUCUUUCUCCUGCCCCUGCCUCUCCCUCAGCACCUUCAUCCCAUUUUCUCAGCCCUAAGCCCUUUCUUUGUUUAUUAGUUGGGUGUUUUCUAUUGGCUACCCUGCUCAUUUUCUCCUUGGAGAUUACAAAGGGUGAAAAUCUGUGAAUACCUAACCUCUGGAAUUUCCUUUCUUCCUGACUCCUCUCAGUGAUAAAUUACCUUAUUUCAGUGAGCAUUUCCUGGCCACCUUCAACAUCUGCAAAUCCUCAGCUCCUAACAUAAACCUCCUCCAAUGCCCUGAUUUGCGUUUCUCCUUAGCACUUACACUAACUUACCCACGUAUUUUUCUUAAUUUUUUAAAUUGUCUAUAUUCCUCUCCCCAGUUGAAGAUAAAAGCCUCACAAGGGCAGGGACUUUGAUCUAUCUCAUCUACUGCUAGAUUUUCAAAGCCUCAAACUGCACUCAGCCCAUAGAUGGGUACUCAAUAAAUUUUUGUGGAAUGAAUAAAUGCAUUUCUCACAAGAAAGCAUCCUCUUUGGUAGUUUGCUUUUCAGAAAAGUCACUCUGGAUGUCAGUCACCCCCCAAUUCUUUAGUUGGGACCACUCCCUCCAUGUUCUCUAAUGAUCUGUUGGCUUUUUAUGGCUUAUGAGUGGAGCUAGCAGCAGCAGUCAGAUUCUGAAUUAUUUUGAUACCUGGUAUCACCAUUUCAAUCCAAUGAUGAGUCUCCCCCUGGGAGUUUACACCACCCCCAUGAUGGACAAUUACAACAGACUCUUCAUGAGCCCUGAAUUUUGGGGUACCUAGAGUUUAAGCAUCAGAAAUCAGAACUCAAUCAAGAUGCAAGGCUAUAUAGUCUUUGAGAGACAGAUCUGGAUUUGAAAUUGGAUUCUGACACAUUCUAUGUGUCCUUUGACCAAAUCCCUCUCCUUGGUGAGCUUCAGGUUUGUUUUGUUUUGCUGUUUUCACCUAUAACUCAGAUGUACCAAUCCAACUUCACAGGGCAUAUAUGUAAAGUGCUACUCCUUAAGGUCAGAGCAUGUGGUAGGAACUCUGUAGCUUGUCCACAUAGAUAAACUUGUGAAAAAGGAAGAAAAUUUAUUCCAUUCAUAUGCAAUGAAUGGAAGUUCCAGAGAGGAGACAAUUUGUAUUUAAAAACAUAGAGUAAUGUUGGGACACUUAUGUGUGUGCAAUCAUAGUAUAACUCUCCUUCAGUGUAGUGGAAUUUCCAUAAUGGAGUCUUAAGACAGGGUAGAUGACAGUGCAUUUGGGAAGAUGAAGAAAUAAGAUAUGCAUCAGGAAUCAGGGAUAUUCCAUGUCACGGUCCAGGUCUUCACAGGAAGUAGAUGACAAGAUGGGAUUAAAUAUCCGUGGAUUUUAUUAGAGAAAUACCUGUGAGAAACAAACUCAGUGAGAGUCAGAAAGGCCUGGAGAGCCUCAGACCAUGAUGCAUUCUGAUCUCGAUCCCUGGCCUUGCUCAGUGGGUUAACGAUCUGGCGUUGCCAUGAGCUGUGGUGUAGGUUGCAGACGCGGCUCGGAUCCCGCGUUGCUGUGGCUCUGGCGUAGGCCGGUGGCUACAGCCCCGAUUAGACCCCUAACCUGGGAACUUCCAUAUACCUCAGGAGCGGCCCAAAGAAAUAGCAAAAACAAAAAAAAAAAAAACAAAAACAAAAACAAAAAAACAAAAAA
rnacentral:lncRNA from 1 species